rnacentral:rRNA from 1 species
UACGUAGGGUGCAAGCGUUGUCCGGAAUUAUUGGGCGUAAAGAGCUCGUAGGCGGUCUGUUGCGUCGGCUGUGAAAACCCGGGGCUCAACCCCGGGCCUGCAGCCGAUACGGGCAGACUAGAGUUCGGCAGGGGGAGACUGGAAUUCCUGGUGUAGCGGUGAAAUGCGCAGAUAUCAGGAGGAACACCGGUGGCGAAGGCGGAUCUCUGGGCCAUUACUGACGCUGAGGAGCGAAAGCGUGGGGAGCGAACAGG